CUUCUGAUUACUGUUUGGUACAAUAUUUUUCAUUAGAAACAGAAGCAAGUAUGGCAGCCUGUGGAUUUCCCUCAGCUCCACGAUGCUGAGUUCUUCUGAAAGUGGAAGGGAGACUGCAAGAAGCCUUAGUAAAUCUAUCCGCUUUGCUGCGUGAAGAAAUUUAUCUUACAAUUUGUAGCAUCUUGAUAUGAAUGAGGUAUUCAAAUUGGUAUGGAAAGUGUAUCAAGCUAUUUAAGGUGGUACUUCAAUUUACUAGUUUCAGAGCUUUGAGGAUAGGUGCUAUUAUUUAGUAUCUAGAAAAAUAAGUACAAGAGGGCCUUGAUGUGCUAGUCCUCUAGGAGCAGACACAACAAAUAAUGGUAGUUAGGAGCAGUCUGUCAUUCUAACCUUGCUGUUACUGCUUAAGUUUAAAGUGAAAUGAAAGGAUUGUCUUGACAGUACUUACUGUGGUUAUGGAUUUUGUCGGUAGACAUUGUCCUUAUUAAAGAUACUGUUUGUGUCAAGCCCUGCCACAGCAGUUGCUGAAAACCCAAAACUUCUAGUGAAUGCAGGUGAACUUCAGGUGGUCCUUCAUGGCAAAGCCCUAUUCAUAUAGAUACAUGUAGUCCACACUGGGCAUAAGAUGAAUACCCAGUGGUAAUACCGUCAUUCUAAGGGAAAGCAAUGGCUAAACAAUAACAUCAAAGUGAAGGUGGAAACAUUGUAGCACAGUUCUUGUUGUUUUGUGUUGUUUUUUCUAAUAAAUUUUCCUGCUUUUUCCUUCAUAGGUUGGAUUGACCACCUAUUGCAUUUCUUACGCUUGACAUGCCUUUGUUCAUAUACAGAGUAGAGCAAGCAAGCUGCAUAUUUGACAGAUGUGGGAGCUGGAGCUUCUCUUUCUAGAUGAGAGCACCUCUCUCUUCCUCCACAGUGAGGAACAGAACAGUACUGAGCUGCUUAUGGGAUCAACUGCCAGUGCUUCUACUUUCCACUAACAGCAGCCUAUUUCAAUGGAUGGAAGCUUUGCAAAACUCUGGAAAAAGAAGUUAG
rnacentral:lncRNA from 1 species